UACGUAGGUGGCAAGCGUUGUCCGGAUUUACUGGGCGUAAAGGGCGUGCAGGCGGUGUGUUAAGUCUAGGGUGAAAGCUCCCGGCUCAACUGGGAGAGGUCCUUGGAUACUGGCAGACUUGAGGAGGGUAGAGGAGAGUGGAAUUCCCGGUGUAGUGGUGAUAUGCGUAGAUAUCGGGAGGAACACCAGUGGCGAAGGCGGCUCUCUGGGCCCUACCUGACGCUGAGACGCGAAAGCGUGGGGAGCGAACCGG
rnacentral:rRNA from 1 species